GAGCUGUGAAGAUUAUUGGUUAUAGCGAUGGUUGGGUCCUUCGCUUUCAUCCGUUCUACGAUGAUAUUUGCCACUACCUGAGCUC